ACAGAACAAAAUUUAUCUAGCACUUCUAGAGUUUUUCCUGAAUGGGCCACUGAUGUCUAUUCCUGCCGCUCUUUCUUCUGCCUUUAUCAGAACCUUGCAGUUAUUUUCUUUUCCCUGUCUCAAUCGAUGUGGCUUUGUCCUAAUAACAAGAGAAAAAGUUACCAGUGUGUCCUAAUAACAAGAGAAAAAGUUACCAGUGUGGAGUAAUGUGACAAAUCAAGAAAAACAUCUCUGCUCGUCUUCCUCAAGUAACUUUUUCACAGGGCAGCUUGAGGUGGAUAGCCGCUGGAUAGAGCAUUUCCCAGCACCAGCGGGGGAGAGGGAGGUGUGCCUGGAAUGUGUUGAAUGUGCAUUCUUUAGCUGCCUGAAAUGGGUGAUGGCAGUCUUAAUGGCUUCUACUCUUUUUCAUUGGGCUGGCUGCUUCCCUAGAAAAAAGGCCCUACCUAUUAACCACUGACUACUGGCUGCUUUUAACUUUUGGAAUUAGGCUUUUAAAAAAGUUUUGUUUUAUCUAUAUUUAUCUUAGAUCUUUUCAAAGACUGACUUGUUUAUUUUAAAUCUGAAGAAUGAAGUCCUGGGAUGUGAGUCUUUUGCUUCUUACUGAAGCCUGACAGACAUGAGGAAGUCACUGAGCUUGGCAGAAAAGACACACCUUUAAUAAGGAAAGCUCCCUUAAACAAAAUGAAAUGUCAUCAUUCUCAGUAACACAGAUGUAGCUUAAGGACACUGUAUUAAGUAAAAUAAAUCAUGCACUGAAAGACAUACACUACGUGAAUGAUCUCAUUCAUAUGCGGAAUAUGAAAAAGGUUCUUCCUAGAAUUUGAAAGUAGCAUCGUGGUUCUAAGAAGUGAGCAAAAUUGGAAGAGGGGUGAGUGAAAGAGGUUUAUCAACAGACACAAUGCUACAGUUGGAUAGGAAGCUCAUGGAUAAUGUCUACCAUACAGAAAAUGCUCACCAGGAUCCACUAAAUGAAAGAAUGAGCGAGGAAAAGCUUGAUGUCCACUCUGCUAUUUAUGGGAUAUGACAUUUUAACUUGCCUUAGUUUUAGUUCUUAGAUGUUAUAUGGGUAAAACAAGGACUUAUAUAAAGCAUGGAAGGCGAGUUUGUAUAAACUAUAAAGAAAUGCACAGGGUCUAAUGAACUUCAGUAUUCCUCCACUCAGAGUUGAUUAUUUACUCUAUAUGAAUGAGAUAACUGGACAUCCAAUUUCUAGCCCCAUGAAUUUGACCAUCUGUGGGAAAUGAUGCUGGAUAAAUAUUUCUGCUGAUCAUGUUCAGACAACUGUUGGAGAAAAUGCUGAUGAUCUGGAUCACAUUGGAGACUUCUCACUGCAGACUCCAGGAGUUGAGGAAGGACUGGGAGAAUGUGAUUCCUAAGACCUGAUGCAUGCUGAGAUAAUUAUUUCAGGCAAUGGAACAGGAAAAGAGAAGCCCUGAGGAGACGAGUGGAAGCAUGUCAGCACAUGUGUCUGUGGGACACUUCUCAAGUCUGCAAGAAUAGGAGGGGAUUAGGGGCCGACGGGUAUGAAGAGGAGACCCAGAGGUGGAGCUCAGCUUUGGGAGAAUCUGAGCAAAUCAGAAAGAUUCAGGAGUAACGAGCUAAGAACAAUUCAGAUGGUCAAAAGGAAGACGUCAGGCUGUGGAAAAGGUAGUGAGAAGAUUGCUUAUGUGUUCAGAAUAAGCAUGAUGCAACAGGGAGAAGAAUUAACUUCAGAGACAUGAAAGGGGUCUAUAAUCUUAGAAGGAAAAGGUUUCCUUGAGUCACUGAUUUGCCCAGCUUAGGCUGCAACCCGCAGUUCUCCUGCUCAAGCUUUCCAGAAUGCUGGGAUCACAGGGCUCCUGUUAUUUCUUAGAAAAGAAGAAACAGAGCGCUUGUCUUCUUUUUCUUCCUUCUCCGUAUUCCAGGCACAAAGCAC